UAGGGAAUCUUCCACAAUGGGCGCAAGCCUGAUGGAGCAACACCGCGUGAGUGAAGAAGGGUUUCGGAUCGUAAAACUCUGUUGUUAGAGAAGAACAUGCAGGAGAGUAACUGUUCUUGUAUUGACGGUAUCUAACCAGAAAGCCACGGCUAACUACGUGACAG
rnacentral:rRNA from 1 species